rnacentral:rRNA from 1 species
GUCGAGCGGCCGCCCNAUACGGGAGAAGCAGACGGGAGAGUUCACGUGGGAACGCGCCCUUCGGUUCGGAAUAACUCAGGGAAACUUGGGCUAAUACCCCAUACGCCCUUACGGGGAAAGAUUUAUUGCCGAAGGAACGGCCCGCGUCCGAUUAGCUUGUUGGUGAGGUAACGGCUCACCAAGGCGACGAUCGGUAGCUGGUCUGAGAGGAUGACCAGCCUCACUGGGACUGAGACACGGCCCAGACUCCUACGGGAGGCAGCAGUGGG